ACCCCAAAUGCUACUCUUAUUUUUCCCACUUUACGCAUUAGAAAACCAACAUCUAAAGAUGUGGAGUCACUUAGUCUGUGUGCCCAGUUGGACUUGAUGCAGAAAUUCCAAGCGCCGCCAUGCAGCCCAGCAACCUUUCGCAGGCUGAGCCCUAAGCCCGUGACGUUGAGGCCCACCUCAGCACACCCCCUUCCUCUCUGCCUAUCCAGAUUCCCUCUAUACCUGAAGCCCAAGUCAGAGCCUUCUUUUCCUUCUGCAGCCUUUCUGCAGCACUCACGCCCUCCCAAGCUGCCAUUUCCUGGCAAACCACUGGGAUAGUUAUUUCCCCAUUGACAAGUCAGUAUGCACUCCUGAACGGCCUUUCAAGUGAAGACUGUGGCUUAGUCAUGGCCAGGGGUAUCAGGAAGAGCAGCACGCCUUGCUCUCUGACAGAGGGCAUAGGACAGUUUCAUAAUCAGCUAUAGUACAAAGCAAUGGACUGUGUGCGGCAGCAGGAUGCAAGGAGCGCUUAACAGAUCUACUGGCAAAUAUGCCGGAUUCGGGACAAGACUUAACCAGACAGGAGAUAAGAACAACAAAUGGAAGAGAGUCCCAGCCAGGGCAGUGGAGCUGGCGGCAGGAAAUGCAGGGGAGGAUGGUGUCAUGAACAGAGGGAAAGAUGGGAGUUUCUGAGUGGUAGUGACAGGAAGGUUUGGACCAAUUCAGUUUCGGCCAAGUCCCAGGCAAUGACCAGAGCAGUGGGCCUCCGUGAUGCUCAGCCAUAUAACAUGUCACAGCUGAACUGGAAUCAUGAGUUUGACUAUGAUGUAUCUGAUCCUGGUCAGUAUGUAUCAAAGCCUCCAUUGAAGAUGAGGCUCAAUCAUAAUUAAGUUUAUCCCUUUAAAAAUGAAUGAAUCUCAGGUUCCAUUAGGUAUACUGCAAGCUUGCCAGUCUUAUUGAUUCUCAGUUCUCAAUUAUAGUGAUUCUAGCCUCAAAACCUUAUAAAAUACUUUUUAUAACAAAAGACUAAGGACAUAACAAGAAGCUAUGAGCUAUAAAUCUUCUAUGUAUUUAUGACAGAAUUUGAGGCUUUACUUUUUUUUUUUUUCAAGAUUCAUUUAUUCAAAAGGCAGAAAGAAAGGGGGGGAAAGAAAGAGAGAGAAAGAGAUCUUCCAUCUGUUGAUUCACUCCCCCUAAAUGCUCACAAUAGCUAUGGGUAAGUCAGACAGAGGCCAGGAACCAGGAACUCCAUCUGGGUUUCGCACAGUCAUGGCAGGAGCCCAAGCAUAUGGGCCAUGGUUUCCUGCCUCCCAGGUGCGUUAGCAGGAAGCUGAAUUAGAAGAAUAGCUGAAGCACUCCAGCAUGGGAUAUAGGCAUCCCAAGAGGCAGCUUGAUCCACUAAACACAAUGUCCACCCUUGUUUUUGUUUUUAUUAUUAAUUUUUUAUUAUUUAUUAUUUAUUUUAAAAAGGGACAGACGGAUCUUCCACCUGCUGAUUCACUCCCCAAAGCCCACAACAGCAAGGACUGGGCCAAGCUGAAACCAGGAGCUCAGAACUCAGGCUAGGUCUCCCACAUGGGUGGCAGGGACCCAAUUACUUGAUCCAUCACCUGCUGUCUGCCUGCCAGGAUGUGCAUUAGCAGAAAGCUGCCACCAGAAAUGGAGCUGGGGGGCCAGUGCUAUGGCAUAGC
ensembl:lncRNA